AAUCAACGCUGGCGGCGUGCCUCAGACAUGCAAGUCGAACGCUGCUGUUCGCCUUCGGGUGGACAGCGGAGUGGCGCACGGGUGAGUAACACGUAGGUAAUCUACCUUUGGGUGGGAAUAACAGCCGGAAACGGCUGCUAAUACCGCAUAAUGCAGCGGCAUCACAUGAUGACAGUUGUUAAAGCGAGGGAUCGUAAGACCUCGCGCCUGAAGAGGAGCCUGCGGCAGAUUAGGUAGUUGGUGAGGUAAUGGCUCACCAAGCCUGCGAUCUGUAACCGGCCUGAGAGGGCGGUCGGUCACACUGACACUGACAUACGGGUCAGACUCC
rnacentral:rRNA from 1 species